GAUGAACGCUGGCGGCGUGCCUAAUACAUGCAAGUCGAGCGAACGGACGAGAAGCUUGCUUCUCUGAUGUUAGCGGCGGUCGGGUGAGUAACACGUGGAUAACCUACCUAUAAGACUGGGAUAACUUCGGGAAACCGGAGCUAAUACCGGAUAAUAUUUUGAACCGCAUGGUUCAAAAGUGAAAGACGGUCUUGCUGUCACUUAUAGAUGGAUCCGCGCUGCAUUAGCUAGUUGGUAAGGUAACGGCUUACCAAGGCAACGAUGCAUAGCCGACCUGAGCGGGUGAUCCGCCACACUGGAACUGAGACACGGUCCAGACUCCUACGGGAGGCAGCAGUAGGGAAUCUUCCGCAAUGGGCGAAAGCCUGACGUAGCAACGCCGCGUGAGUGAUGAAGGUCUUCGGAUCGUAAAACUCUGUUAUUAGGGAAGAACAUAUGUGUAAGUAACUGUGCACAUCUUGACGGUACCUAAUCAGAAAGCCACGGCUAACUACGUG
rnacentral:rRNA from 1 species